AGACGUGCCGGGGAAAAAAAAGAGGGAGGAGGAGGAGGAGGAGCCAUGGCGGCGUUGUGGAGAUCAGGGGAGGCCGGACACCGCCGGGCAUUUGGGAGGUGGAGCCUCCAGAGCUCUAGAAGCUGGCAAGCGAAGAGGAGGAGGAGGAGACCAGGCUAGAGUUCUGCGCCAAUCAGGAGUGCAGGCUACGUCUCCUUGACUACGGAUCGCAUUUUUUUUUUGUCCUCCCUCUCCACCCGGGCAGAACUUAAGGGCCGAUGUCGGUGCCAGGAAUCAGGACGUGAGCAGGCUGCCCUCCUGUUCCGGGGUGGGCAGUGGCUCAGGAGGGGGCCAGCGCGGGGGCCUCGGUUUGGCUCUUCCUGUGUGUGAACCUGGACAGGACACCGCCCUCUCUUUAGCCUCAGUUUCCCCUGGGGUGAAUUGGGGGACAUCGCUACCUGCCACGCGUCCUCGCUGUGCCCCUAUUGGACAGACUACUGCCCCGUCCUGAGGCCUCAGUUUCUGCAUCUCAGAACUGUGAAGAAGCAUAUUUGGAUUUUAGAGCAGACAGACAUCCUAAGAGAUCAGCUGAAGUUUUUUAUCUAGACAGUUCCAGACCUGAUUAUGGCUCAUACAAGCCCUACCCCAGCCCGCAGCGUAUUUCCUCUUCCGUACAACAAGGAUAAGAGAAUCCCCCUCCCAUCCUCCACCUCCCCGGCUGAUCUGAAGACUCCGCGCCAUAAAAACGAAGACCGUGGCUUACCCAUAACAAGCAUUCAUUACAUGGAAGUUGUUCGUCUUAUAUUCAUAUAUGAACAACUUUCCCCAGGUUUCACAAGCGAUGAGUGGCUGACUCAGAACUUUGUGACCAGUUUGCCCACGGUGGCCUAAUCUGCCCUGGCCCACCUGUCUACCACUGUCUUCUCCUCGUGUUUAAUGAGUUCCAGUCAUGCCUCCUUUCUGCUCCUAGAGCACGCUGAUCUUCUUCCCACUCAUAUCCGAUGGCCUACUUGACAUCUCCUCUUGGAUUUCUUAAUAAGCAUCUCAAACCUAAGGGACAGCGUUUCGCCAUGUUACCCAGGCUGGGCUUAAACUCCUGGUCUCAAGUGAUCCACCUGCCUCAGCCUCCCAAAUUGUUGGGAUUACAGGUGUGAGCCACCAUGCCCAGCCCAGUUUCUGUGAUUUUGACUACAUUAAUACUUCAUGGUCUUGCUCUGUCACCAAGGCUGGAGUGCAGUGGCACCACCAUGACUCACUGCAGCCUCAACCUCCUGGGCUCAAGCAAUCCUCCUGUCUCAGCCUCCUGAAUAGCUGGUACCUCAGGCUUGCGCCACCACACCUAAUUUUUUUUUGUAGAGAUGGAGUCUUGCUAUGUUGCCUAGGCUGGUCUCCAACUCAUGGCCUCAAGUGAUCCUCCUGCCUUGGCCUCCCAAAGUGCUGGGAUUACAGAUGUGAGCCACCACGCCCAGCCAACAUUUCAUUCUUAGAGAAGUAAUGCAUAUUUAUGCAUUCGUAUAUCCUCUUGGAAGCAUGUACACACAUUUACAUAUGUGUCUAUCUUCCAUUUCCAGCUCCUACCCUAUGAGAUUGAUGUGAGGGUUAAAUGCCAUAUGGUAAUUGAAGCUGGAGAAAUUUGGGUUAUCUUAUUCUCUGGACAGUGGUGAACACAGCAUGAGGGAAUGCCUGUGGCUACCUGGACCCUUCCUCCAGACCUCUUAUUUUGGCUCUGGGCACCCACCCUUGUCUGCAGUCACUGUACCCAGGCUGUCCUGAAGGGAGAAUAGAGCACCCCUUCCGUCCUCUCCUUCCACGUGGUUUAUGAGAGCUGGUUCUGCCCUGCUCCAGGAGUGGACAUGUGACUCUGGACUGGCCAAUCAGAACUCCCGCCCCUGCCCGGCCCCUGUGAUUGGUUCAGGUGAGCCAAUCAGAUUCAGGGAAAUAAUAGAAGGGUGAGGCAGUGAGGGCGGCCUUGGCCCUGCAGUGGCUUUUAUUCCCCACAGUGGAGGGAUGGAAACCAAAGAGGUCCGCCAAGCCCAGACAGCGGGCCAGGCCUGGGGCCCUGUGCUCGCGGAUCCAACCAACCACGCCCCAAGGUGUCCAGCUUCAGCUUCUGGUGUUUGUUGCUGCUGUUUGUUUUCAGUUACCCAAGCCAAUAAAGUUUUCUUUCUCCUUUUUAAACCUCC